GCUUCGGGGAGGGACUAGAAUGCUAGUCGAGUGACUCAGGCAAAACGAGUCACGGCACACAGCUCAGUAACACGUGGCUAACCUGCCCUUGGGACGAGAACAACCCCGGGAACCUGGGGAUAAUCCUCGAUAGGUGAAGAACUCUGGAAUGAGUCUUCGCCCAAAAGCCAUUUGGAUCAUGCUUCCAAGUGGCGCCUAAGGAUGGGGCCGCGACCGAUCAGGUUGUUGGUGAGGUAAUGGCCCACCAAGCCUAUAACCGGUGCGGGCCGUGAGAGCGGGAGCCCGGAGAUGGGCACUGAGACAAGGGCCCAGGUCCUACGGGGCGCAGCAGUCGCGAAAACUUUGCAAUACACGAAAGUGUGACAGGGUCAUCCCGAGUGCCGACCGCUGAGGUUGGCUUUUACCCAGUCUAGAAAGCUGGGGGAAUAAGGAGAGGGCAAGUCUGGUGUCAGCCGCCGCGGUAAUACCAGCUCUCCGAGUGGUGUGGACGUUUAUUGGGCCUAAAGCAUCCGUAGCUGGCUAGGUAAGUCCCUUGUUAAAUCCACCGAAUUAAUCGUUGGAUCGCGGGGGAUACUGCUUGGCUAGGGGACGAGAGAGGCAGACGGUAUUUUCGGGGUAGGGGUGAAAUCCUAUAAUCCCGGGAAGACCACCAGUGGCGAAGGCUGUCUGCUAGAACGCGCCCGACGGUGAGGGAUGAAAGCUGGGGGAGCGAACCGGAUUAGAUACCCGGGUAGUCCCAGCUGUAAACGAUGCAGACUAGGUGUUUGGACGGCCACGUGCCGUUCUAGUGCCGCAGGGAAGCUGUUAAGUCUGCCGCCUGGGGAGUACGAUCGCAAGAUUGAAACUUAAAGGAAUUGGCGGGGGAGCACCACAAGGGGUGAAGCUUGCGGUUUAAUUGGAUUCAACGCCGGA
rnacentral:rRNA from 1 species